UACGUAGGGUGCAAGCGUUGUCCGGAAUUAUUGGGCGUAAAGAGCUCGUAGGCGGUCUGCCGCGUCGGAUGUGAAAAUCCAGGGCUCAACCCUGGACCUGCAUUCGAUACGGGCAGACUAGAGUUCGGUAGGGGAGACUGGAAUUCCUGGUGUAGCGGUGAAAUGCGCAGAUAUCAGGAGGAACACCGGUGGCGAAGGCGGGUCUCUGGGCCGAAACUGACGCUGAGGAGCGAAAGCGUGGGGAGCGAACAGG
rnacentral:rRNA from 1 species